CCGGGCCCGGGUGCGCCGAUCCGGCGGCCGCCAGAGGGACCCCCGGCGGGGCCGUGCGCGCCGAGCCCAGGGCGGGACGGACAGGCGGACGGCUGCGGGCCGAGGAAGGCGACACAAAGGGGCAAGUGAAAGCUAAAGCCCCACAACGGCCCGCCAGACCUCUCAGGAGCCGGCUCCUGUUGAACUCUCACCUCACUCCCUGCCGCUCCGGCCACACUGGUCCCCCUCAAUGCAUCACCAACAUGGCAGCCACCCCCUGGCCUCCGGACCUUUGCACGGCGGCGAUGUUCUCUGCCUGGAAACUUCCCCCAGAUAGUCACAUGACUUGCUCCUUUACCUCUUAAACGUGUCACCUCCAACAGGCCUUCUGGACCAUCCCGUUUUAAAUUGCAGGCCCCCUGCCCCUAUUUUCUCCACGGUAGUCAUGACCUUUAUUUUGCGUCUCCUGUGGCUCGUUGGCUCUUCACUGCCAGCUCUCCCCUCAGUCCUCUGACGUUCCAGUCCUCCAGGCUCACCAAAAUUCGGUUCUCUAAACAAACUGUAUUUUUCCCAUUUCUAUCCUGUGUUCAUUCGGUGCCUUCAGCCUGGGAAGUCACGCACUGACGUUUCACCUAGAUUGUAAGGUCCGGUUCAAAUACAUGCUUCUCCAUGGGGCUUUCACUCAUGUCCCCAGGGGUACUCAGCA